rnacentral:rRNA from 1 species
AUUGAACGCUGGCGGCAGGCCUAACACAUGCAAGUCGAGCGGCAGCGGGAAAGUAGCUUGCUACUUUUGCCGGCGAGCGGCGGACGGGUGAGUAAUGCCUGGGAAAUUGCCCAGUCGAGGGGGAUAACAGUUGGAAACGACUGCUAAUACCGCAUACGCCCUACGGGGGAAAGCAGGGGACCUUCGGGCCUUGCGCGAUUGGAUAUGCCCAGGUGGGAUUAGCUAGUUGGUGAGGUAAUGGCUCACCAAGGCGACGAUCCCUAGCUGGUCUGAGAGGAUGAUCAGCCACACUGGAACUGAGACACGGUCCAGACUCCUACGGGAGGCAGCAGUGGGGAAUAUUGGACAAUGGGCGCAAGCCUGAUCCAGCCAUGCCGCGUGUGUGAAGAAGGCCUUCGGGUUGUAAAGCACUUUCAGUAGGGAGGAAGGGGUUGUAGUUAAUAGCUGCAACUUUUGACGUUACCUACAGAAGAAGCACCGGCUAACUCUGUGCCAGCAGCCGCAGUAAGAC